rnacentral:rRNA from 1 species
GUCCUUAACCACAAGGCUUAAACAAACUUAAGCCUAAAAUAUACUACCAACCAACCCGGAUAUAACGGAUUUA